CCUACGGGUGGCAGCAGUGGGGAAUAUUGGACAAUGGGGGAAACCCUGAUCCAGCGACGCCGCGUGAGUGAAGAAGUAUUUCGGUACGUAAAGCCCUUUCAGCAGGGAAGAAAAUAACGGUACCUGACUACGAAGCACCGGCAAACUACGUGCCAGCAGCCGCGGUAAUACGCAGGGGGCAAGGGUUAUCCGGAUUUAGUGGGUUAAACGGGUGCGUAGGUGGAAUGCCAAGUCCGCGGUAAAAGCGCGGGGCUCAACCGCGCCCCGCCGUUGAAACUGGCGUGCGUGAGUGGGCGAGAAGUAUGCGGAAUGCGAGGUGUAGCGGUGAAAUGCAUAGAUAUCACGCAGAACUCCGAGUGCGAAGGCAGCAUACCGGCGCCCAACUGACGCUGAAGUACGAAAGCGUGGGUAUCGAACAGGAUUAGAUACCCCGGUAGUC
rnacentral:rRNA from 1 species